rnacentral:rRNA from 1 species
UUAAGCGACUAAGCGUACACGGUGGAUGCCCUGGCAGUCAGAGGCGAUGAAGGACGUGCUAAUCUGCGAUAAGCGUCGGUGAGGUGAUAUGAACCGUUAUAACCGGCGAUUUCCGAAUGGGGAAACCCAGUGUGUUUCGACACACUAUCAUUAACUGAAUCCAUAGGUUAAUGAGGCGAACCGGGGGAACUGAAACAUCUAAGUACCCCGAGGAAAAGAAAUCAACCGAGAUUCCCCCAGUAGCGGCGAGCGAACGGGGAGGAGCCCAGAGCCUGAAUCAGUGUGUGUGUUAGUGGAAGCGUCUGGAAAGGCGCGCGAUACAGGGUGACAGCCCCGUACACAAAAAUGCACAUGCUGUGAGCUCGAUGAGUAGGGCGGGACACGUGGUAUCCUGUCUGAAUAUGGGGGGACCAUCCUCCAAGGCUAAAUACUCCUGACUGACCGAUAGUGAACCAGUACCGUGAGGGAAAGGCGAAAAGAACCCCGGCGAGGGGAGUGAAAAAGAACCUGAAACCGUGUACGUACAAGCAGUGGGAGCCUCUUAAUGGGGUGACUGCGUACCUUUUGUAUAAUGGGUCAGCGACUUAUAUUCUGUAGCAAGGUUAACCGAAUAGGGGAGCCGAAGGGAAACCGAGUCUUAACUGGGCGUUAAGUUGCAGGGUAUAGACCCGAAACCCGGUGAUCUAGCCAUGGGCAGGUUGAAGGUUGGGUAACACUAACUGGAGGACCGAACCGACUAAUGUUGAAAAAUUAGCGGAUGACUUGUGGCUGGGGGUGAAAGGCCAAUCAAACCGGGAGAUAGCUGGUUCUCCCCGAAAGCUAUUUAGGUAGCGCCUCGUGAAUUCAUCUCCGGGGGUAGAGCACUGUUUCGGCAAGGGGGUCAUCCCGACUUACCAACCCGAUGCAAACUGCGAAUACCGGAGAAUGUUAUCACGGGAGACACACGGCGGGUGCUAACGUCCGUCGUGAAGAGGGAAACAACCCAGACCGCCAGCUAAGGUCCCAAAGUCAUGGUUAAGUGGGAAACGAUGUGGGAAGGCCCAGACAGCCAGGAUGUUGGCUUAGAAGCAGCCAUCAUUUAAAGAAAGCGUAAUAGCUCACUGGUCGAGUCGGCCUGCGCGGAAGAUGUAACGGGGCUAAACCAUGCACCGAAGCUGCGGCAGCGACACUAUGUGUUGUUGGGUAGGGGAGCGUUCUGUAAGCCUGUGAAGGUGGCCUGUGAGGGUUGCUGGAGGUAUCAGAAGUGCGAAUGCUGACAUAAGUAACGAUAAAGCGGGUGAAAAGCCCGCUCGCCGGAAGACCAAGGGUUCCUGUCCAACGUUAAUCGGGGCAGGGUGAGUCGACCCCUAAGGCGAGGCCGAAAGGCGUAGUCGAUGGGAAACAGGUUAAUAUUCCUGUACUUGGUGUUACUGCGAAGGGGGGACGGAGAAGGCUAUGUUGGCCGGGCGACGGUUGUCCCGGUUUAAGCGUGUAGGCUGGUUUUCCAGGCAAAUCCGGAAAACCAAGGCUGAGGCGUGAUGACGAGGCACUACGGUGCUGAAGCGACAAAUGCCCUGCUUCCAGGAAAAGCCUCUAAGCAUCAGGUAACAUCAAAUCGUACCCCAAACCGACACAGGUGGUCAGGUAGAGAAUACCAAGGCGCUUGAGAGAACUCGGGUGAAGGAACUAGGCAAAAUGGUGCCGUAACUUCGGGAGAAGGCACGCUGAUAUGUAGGUGAAGCGACUUGCUCGUGGAGCUGAAAUCAGUCGAAGAUACCAGCUGGCUGCAACUGUUUAUUAAAAACACAGCACUGUGCAAACACGAAAGUGGACGUAUACGGUGUGACGCCUGCCCGGUGCCGGAAGGUUAAUUGAUGGGGUUAGCGGUAACGCGAAGCUCUUGAUCGAAGCCCCGGUAAACGGCGGCCGUAACUAUAACGGUCCUAAGGUAGCGAAAUUCCUUGUCGGGUAAGUUCCGACCUGCACGAAUGGCGUAAUGAUGGCCAGGCUGUCUCCACCCGAGACUCAGUGAAAUUGAACUCGCUGUGAAGAUGCAGUGUACCCGCGGCAAGACGGAAAGACCCCGUGAACCUUUACUAUAGCUUGACACUGAACAUUGAGCCUUGAUGUGUAGGAUAGGUGGGAGGCUUUGAAGUGUGGACGCCAGUCUGCAUGGAGCCGACCUUGAAAUACCACCCUUUAAUGUUUGAUGUUCUAACGUUGGCCCGUAAUCCGGGUUGCGGACAGUGUCUGGUGGGUAGUUUGACUGGGGCGGUCUCCUCCUAAAGAGUAACGGAGGAGCACGAAGGUUGGCUAAUCCUGGUCGGACAUCAGGAGGUUAGUGCAAUGGCAUAAGCCAGCUUGACUGCGAGCGUGACGGCGCGAGCAGGUGCGAAAGCAGGUCAUAGUGAUCCGGUGGUUCUGAAUGGAAGGGCCAUCGCUCAACGGAUAAAAGGUACUCCGGGGAUAACAGGCUGAUACCGCCCAAGAGUUCAUAUCGACGGCGGUGUUUGGCACCUCGAUGUCGGCUCAUCACAUCCUGGGGCUGAAGUAGGUCCCAAGGGUAUGGCUGUUCGCCAUUUAAAGUGGUACGCGAGCUGGGUUUAGAACGUCGUGAGACAGUUCGGUCCCUAUCUGCCGUGGGCGCUGGAGAACUGAGGGGGGCUGCUCCUAGUACGAGAGGACCGGAGUGGACGCAUCACUGGUGUUCGGGUUGUCAUGCCAAUGGCACUGCCCGGUAGCUAAAUGCGGAAGAGAUAAGUGCUGAAAGCAUCUAAGCACGAAACUUGCCCCGAGAUGAGUUCUCCCUGACUCCUUGAGGGUCCUGAAGGAACGUUGAAGACGACGACGUUGAUAGGCCGGGUGUGUAAGCGCAGCGAUGCGUUGAGCUAACCGGUACUAAUGAACCGUGAGGCUUAACCUU